CAAAUACUCCCUCUGUCCGGAAAUACUUGUCAUCAAAAUGGAUAAAAGGAAAUGUAUCUAGACGUAUAUUAGUUUUAGAUACAUCUCUUUUUAUCCAUUUUGAUGACAAGUAUUUUCGGACGGAGGGAAUAGAAA
rnacentral:pre_miRNA from 1 species